rnacentral:lncRNA from 1 species
GGAUAUGGGGCCAUGUGCCUGUGACAGCAGUCACCGCAUUGAUUCAACUGAUUAGACUGGCUACAUAGUACCUCUUUCUCUCUCCAUUUUCAUAUGGAUCCCCUACCCCUGAAGCUGUGAGAUCAGUCAAAGAAAACCUUCCCCAAUAGAGGUUGAUCUCUUCUUCCAUCAAGGGUGUAUGAGUGCAUGUGUUCCUUUACUAGAGC